rnacentral:rRNA from 1 species
GAUGAACGCUGGCGGCGUGCCUAAUACAUGCAAGUCGAGCGAACAGACGAGGAGCUUGCUCCUCUGACGUUAGCGGCGGACGGGUGAGUAACACGUGGAUAACCUACCUAUAAGACUGGGAUAACUUCGGGAAACCGGAGCUAAUACCGGAUAAUAUAUUGAACCGCAUGGUUCAAUAGUGAAAGACGGUUUUGCUGUCACUUAUAGAUGGAUCCGCGCCGCAUUAGCUAGUUGGUAAGGUAACGGCUUACCAAGGCAACGAUGCGUAGCCGCCCUGAGAGGGUGAUCGGCCACACUGGAACUGAGACACGGUCCAGACUCCUACGGGAGGCAGCAGUAGGGAAUCUUCCGCGAUGGACGAAAGCCUGACGGAGCAACGCCGCGUGAGUGAUGAAGGUCUUCGGAUCGUAGAACUCUGUUAUUAGGGAAGAACAAAUGUGUAAGUAACUAUGCACGUCUUGACGGUACCUAAUCAGAAAGCCACGGCUAACUACGUG